UACGUAGGUGGCAAGCGUUGUCCGGAUUUAUUGGGUUUAAAGGGUGCGUAGGCGGUCCUAUAAGUCAGUGCUGAAAUAUCCCGGCUUAACCGGGAGGGUGGCAUUGAUACUGCAGGACUUGAGUAAAGUUGAGGUAGGCGGAAUUGACGGUGUAGCGGUGAAAUGCUUAGAUAUCGAGAGGAACACCGGCGGCGAAAGCGGCCACCUGGACGAGGACUGACGCUGAGAUGCGAAAGCGUGGGGAGCAAACAGG
rnacentral:rRNA from 1 species